UACGUAGGGUGCGAGCAUUGUCCGGAUUUAUUGGGCGUAAAGAGCUCGUAGGCGGCUUGUCGCGUCGGAUGUGAAAGCCCGGGGCUUAACUCCGGGUCUGCAUUCGAUACGGGCAGGCUAGAGUGUGGUAGGGGAGAUCGGAAUUCCUGGUGUAGCGGUGAAAUGCGCAGAUAUCAGGAGGAACACCGGUGGCGAAGGCGGAUCUCUGGGCCAUUACUGACGCUGAGGAGCGAAAGCGUGGGGAGCGAACAGG
rnacentral:rRNA from 1 species